AAGUCGUAACAAGGUUUCCGUAGGUGAACCUGCGGAAGGAUCAUUAGAAAUCACCAGCCAAGCUGGUAUAAAAUUCUAUCCACCUUGUGUGCAAACAAUGGAAAAAGAGAGAAAAUUGGAUACUUUUUGUACCCAACUUCUCUAAAAUUCUUUAUAAACUCCAUCAAAUUUUGAAUGAAAACAUUUUUUUUUUUUUAAUAAAAAUAUUAUACAACUUUCAACAACGGAUCUCUUGGCUCUC
rnacentral:misc_RNA from 1 species